CCUACGGGUGGCUGCAGUGGGGAAUAUUGCACAAUGGGCGCAAGCCUGAUGCAGCCAUGCCGCGUGUGUGAAGAAGGCCUUCGGGUUGUAAAGCACUUUCAGCGGGGAGGAAGGCGGUUAGGUUAAUACCCUCAUCGAUUGACGUUACCCGCAGAAGAAGCACCGGCUAACUCCGUGCCAGCAGCCGCGGUAAUACGGAGGGUGCAAGCGUUAAUCGGAAUUACUGGGCGUAAAGCGCACGCAGGCGGUCUGUCAAGUCGGAUGUGAAAUCCCCGGGCUCAACCUGGGAACUGCAUUCGAAACUGGCAGGCUAGAGUCUUGUAGAGGGGGGUAGAAUUCCAGGUGUAGCGGUGAAAUGCGUAGAGAUCUGGAGGAAUACCGGUGGCGAAGGCGGCCCCCUGGACAAAGACUGACGCUCAGGUGCGAAAGCGUGGGGAGCAAACAGGAUUAGAUACCCUUGUAGUC
rnacentral:rRNA from 1 species